rnacentral:tRNA from 1 species
GGGGUUGUGGCUCAGUGGUAGAGCGCUUGCUUAGCAUGUGUGAGGCACUGGGUUCAAUUCUCAGCACCA